CAAAAAAUGGGGCGCGACAGUUGGCGACUCCACUGGGGACUUCCUAAGUGGGUCCAAGCAUUUUUGACUUAACCAUUCGUUUCCUUUUUCUACCCUUUCUAUGCAUGGCAUGUGGAUAUUAGGAUUGCAUUUUUCAUUUUUUUAGGACCUUUUGUCUUAUAUACGUAAUCAAACCAAUCCCUCGACUCACGAAUGUAUGUUUGAAUGAAUGUUUAUUUGUUAUCUCGCGCUUGCAUUGCAUUUUGGGAGGUAUGGGUCACCCUAGAGCCUCGCGUUGGUUCUUGACCCUUCCCCUCCAAACGAGCACUAGCAUACGAGCAUACGCUUUACUUCUUUUUAUCCCUUUUAUUUUUCUUUAGUGGCUUGUCACGCCACUCCACCCUAUUAGGAUUAGGUGACUCACUUGGACAUGUGAUCACGACACGAUGUGUGUGUAGCAUGUUCCAAUGGG
rnacentral:lncRNA from 1 species